rnacentral:lncRNA from 1 species
UCGUUGCAUUGUAAUCCUACAUAGAAUUGAUUGAGCAGUAUCCUAGCAGGAACGUUAUGCAGAGCUACUUCAAUGGAUGCCCAAAUAUGAAAAGUUACCUUGAGAGAGAAGAGGGUGAAGGAACCAAACAUGUCUUUGGAUUUUGAACUUUCUGGGAUUUGUGAACUAAGAAACAUAAAAGGAGACAUACAUUCUUCGGUUUCAAAGAAUCACUGACGAACAUCUUCUUCCCUCUUAAACUCCCCAUCACCAUCUUUGCAUCACACCUAACACACCACAGAGAAAAUCAAGGAAGCAUAAGACAAACUCAUGAGGGAAGUUCCAGGAAUCAUAGUCACUAUGGAGACGACAUUGCUAAGAAUUUCUUUUCAGCAUCUUAAGCAGACUAUAAUAUGUAAUUAACUGAUUUGUAGAACCUUUUCCUAGACAUAAAAUGAACUGGAAAAUUAAACGUUGAAGAGCUUAUGCUUGCCAUCCUUAACAAUAUGCACACCAAAUCUCAAACA